UACGUAGGGACCAAGCGUUGUUCGGAUUUACUGGGCGUAAAGGGCGCGUAGGCGGCUUGACAAGUCACUUGUGAAAUCUCUGAGCUUAACUCAGAACGGCCAAGUGAUACUGCAGUGCUAGAGUGCAGAAGGGGCAAUCGGAAUUCUUGGUGUAGCGGUGAAAUGCGUAGAUAUCAAGAGGAACACCUGAGGUGAAGACGGGUUGCUAGGCUGACACUGACGCUGAGGCGCGAAAGCCAGGGGAGCAAACGGG
rnacentral:rRNA from 1 species